UAGCUUUCCUAUAAGCCACAUGGCUGGUGUGAGAGAAGUGCUUUGGGGUUGGCCAGGAGGGUUUUGAGAAUGACUUUUCUAAAAACACAAAGCCACGUGCUGGCUUCUCCAGGUGAGUAACAAACUGGGUAGGACCAACCCAGGUGAGACCAGUUCCCCGGGGAGCAGAUGCUGGCAUUUGGCAUGAGCAGGCCUGGAAGGAAGAGGGGAUGAGCUGGCCUAAAAUGAAGCACUGAAAAAUAAAAAGGAGCACAAUCAAUCUCAGCUGGAAGUUGUUUCAUGUUAAAUACAGACUGGUUCUUUAUUGCAGCCUGUGUACGGGUUUGCUAAUGCCCUUGAUUUAUUAUAGAAGCUGAAAUGACUUUGCACAGCAGGAUAACAUGCGUUUGACUUCAUUCCAGGUGUGACAACAGCUGAGAGCCAUCAAAACUAGGGAGAAAAGAGCUGCCAAUGGCUCUGUCUAACUCAGAUGAUGGGGAUUUUCUACAUGCCACGUCAAAUCCUGCUCUCUUGUUCUUUACUGAUGGAGCUGAGGACUGGAUUUCCCUUUGAGAGCAGCAGUUUUUCCUGUCAGCAUUAACAGCAUGUUCUCUGCGGGAUAUGAAGAGUCCAGGAAAGGAAACUUUCCUCUGCCUCCUUUUGCUUCAACUGCAAGAGCUGCAGGUACUGGGAGGACACUUAGGAUGGAGAGGUCUGACCUCAGGGGACCACAAGGUUCAUCUUUUCAAAGAUUUGCCAGUGGAAAAUGCUAAAGGAAUACUGUCCCCUGCUCCUGGCGACAGCAACUGGAAAUACCAGAAUGAUUUUUUCCUCCCCUCUUCCAUGAAAAGGACAGCGAGAGGCCAGGCAGCAUCGAGAGCGUCUGAGGAAAUGAGCUGAUGCUACACAGUGCAGCACAGUUCGUCUCCAUCAUCACACAAAGAAACCCACAGGAGCAAACCUGGAGGUCAGAACCACUGCCAAUAACCCGAUGUAAAAGGUGUGUGCUGUGACCCAGCCAUGUGGGCUUUCAGCAUCAAGUCCUUCUUUGUGCCGGAGCUCCCUGACGGACUUCAGACAAGGCUAUGUGAAAGGCAUCUUGUGGAGGAGAGCAGUCCUGCUUUCCUUCCCAUCCCUGCUGAUUCUUGGUACCAUUGUGCUGGUCCUCACAUUCCUCUUGCAGAACAGGUUUUAGAGGGCUUUUGGCCCACAUAUGUGUGAGGAAACAGCUCGUGUUACAGCUGCAGAUCAGGAUGAAGUCUCCUUUUGACACGAAACCCAUCCUCAUCAUCCUGAGCGGGGCCUUGCAGGGUGAAAUUGCCAAUCAGCCUCAGCCGUUCCUACCAAAAAGCUGUGCUGCUGCCAGCAGCAUUUCCACAGAUGCACUUUAUGCUGACUGCAGAGCACAGCUUUGUGAAAUGAGUGAUGCCAGCAGAAUUUGCGAUCAUACACAGGAGCAGCCCAGUCCCACGUUGGGUGCAGGAGGGACAGUGGGAUGGGGCAGCGUGAUCAGCAUCACCCGCUGGAGGUGCAUGGCCUGUGGAAUGAAGGCAGCAAGUCGAGGCAAUCUCUAGAUCCACGUGGCAGAUGCUACUGCUGUGCUUGCUUCUCAUGCCAUUUAGCAGCGAUGGGAAGGAUGUUUGGAUGCUGGGAAGGGACAGUGCAGGACAAUAGUGAGAGUUAACUUUUCCUGAACACUCCUCGGGCUAACACACUUGGUCCAUGCAUAGCUGCCCUGCAGGAUCUUUGCACAGCUAUGCAGAUGGGAGAAUGGAGAAACUCUGAACAAAUGAUGAAAAUAUUAAUGAAGCGGAAUACAGCCGAAGUAAUGACCAAGAUUUGGGCCGCAACCUUGAAUGGGUUGGCAUGUGGAGGCAGAGGCUCAGAAGUUGGGGAGCGGCCAUUUCACCUGCUCUGCUGGGUUGCAGGACUCCACAGUUCACAGAAGGAGAGUUGCACCUGAUUGGCGUUGGCAUCCAUCCACCAGAAGGCAUUAGCAGCAUGCUCAGAAAUCACACCAAGUGCAUGGGCUCUGUAUGCAAGAUUAACAUCUGGAAAGAGCAAGAUUAACAUCUGGAGAGUUAUUUGAAGAUCGACGUGCUGCUGGUGGUGCCCUCAGAUGCUCAAAGGCCACCAGUGCUCUCAUCGGAGAGGCCCCCCGAGUGCUGAGACUUGCUCUGGGGACUAUGAGAGCAGCAGAAAUACACGAAUGAAGACAGGAAAGGAAAAAUAAAAGCUACAAAUCAGCCUCAGCACGCAGGGUGCUGUGUAACCAAGUGGGGCUCUGCUGACAGCAGCACGCUUGUCGAGGAGAUGUGUAUCUGGGUGCAGUGGAAAAAACUUGCCAAGUGCCCGUGAACUAUUUUAAGGUUGCAGCCUCGUUCAUUUUACAGAGAUAACUUAAGUGUCAAACUGCUUGGUGCCUUUGGGAUUUUUUUUCCUCUCUUAAAAUAGAUUUUAGGUGCUACAUUUUCUGCUGACGGAUGCACACAAUGGUGUUGUGUCAACGUACAGUGACACAACACCAGCUACCACAAAGCUCCAGCUACCACAAAGGAGCGGUUGUCCAUUGAGCUACAGUGUUUGGGCAACACCUGCUGCUAGGAUUUUUGUAAAUAAAGAAGUUGUUUUGUGUCCUUAUGCAGCCACACUGUCAUUUCUUAGGAAGGCUGCAACCUGUUGGCUGAUUUCUGUCAAAGCCAUGGUUUCUCCAGGCUGUGUGACAACAGUUUAAAUGAAGCAGCACUCCCCACGGAGGCUCCCAAGGUGAUUUCACCUUCUUUAGCUUCCAUGAAGUUCAGCAACGCACAACAACUUAGUAACGGAGACUUGAGGAACCUUGCUGCUUGUGGAACAGGCUCCUCACCUUGAGGAGCAAACUGUAUAACUGUACAGGAGGAAAAAAAAACGCUCAAAACCUCUUUGUGUUGA